CUUAUUUUUUUUAAUGUUUUUUGUUGUGCUGAGGCUUGAACUUGAGACCCUGUAAAUGCUAGGAAAGCAUUCCAUCAUUGUGCUACAAAACCCAGCCCUUGGAUACUCUAUUCUUAACUCAUGGAGAAACCCAGAAUCAUAUGUGAUUUAGAGUUUUAUGCUUUAUUGACUCCUCCUUUAGUGCAGUUUUCCUGAUGAUCAGAAUAUUGCUAACAUUCACAAGAAAAGCACCUGUUUGAUGAGAAAUAAUAUCUCCACAGCAUUGAUGUUAACCAUGUAGGCAAACAUCAGGACUCCUGCCAGACAAAGAAAUACUAAAAGGGCAUUCAACACAAUCAGAUGAAGCUUAGUACCUCAGCUAAAUUGAGAGCAGAAUCUAUGGGCAGAAACUUUAUCUUUUCUUACAUUUUGUCCAUGUCGGUUACUUGACAUAUUAAUGUGACAUAUUAACAUAUUAAUGUUCCCAGACCUAAGGGAGUCUGCGUCCUGGAUUAUUGCUUCUGUAGCCUCAGAUAUAAUUACAUUUUCUAGAGAGAUGGAUAGUUUUCAUUUUUGUUGUUGUUGCAAGCUUGUCCACCUGUCCAGGGUAGCUAAUGUUGCUAAAUAUGAUUUAUUGAUUGGAGAAUGAAUGAAAAUAUGUGUUUAUGGCUUAAAUUACCCAUCAUGUCAGGGCAUUUUUUUUGCUAUGUAAAAUUAUUCUAAUGAAACAAGUCAUUUGGGUUUCAUCACUCUUUUAUUCUUCAGUGGACUGUCCUGAAGAAUUUUUUUGAGGGGUAAGGGUUAU